GAUGAAGAACGUAGCGAAAUGCGAUACUUGGUGUGAAUUGCAGAAUCCCGUGAACCAUCGAGUCUUUGAACGCAAGUUGCGCCUCAAGCCAUUAGGUUGAGGGCACGUCUGCCUGGGCGUCACAUAUCGUUGCCUGAUGCCAGUUUCCUCGUGAUGGGUGACUGUGCAGGGCGAAUGAUGGCUUCCCGUGAGCAUUGUUGCCUCAUGGUUGGUUGAAAAUUGAGUCCUUGGUAGGGAGCGCCGUGAUAGAUGGUGGUUGAGUGACGAACGAGACCCAAUCAUGUGAGACCCCUACCGAAUUUGGCCUUCAUGACCCACAUGCGUCUUUGGAACGCUCAUGACGAGACCUCAGGUCAGGCGGGGCUACCCGCUGAGUUUUAGCAUAUCAAUAAGCGGAGA
rnacentral:misc_RNA from 1 species